AGUGAACGCUGGCGGUAGGCCUAACACAUGCCAGUCGAACGGCAGCACAGUAAGAGCUUGCUCUUACGGGUGGCGAGUGGCGGACGGGUGAGGAAUACAUCGGAAUCUACUUUUUCGUGGGGGAUAACGUAGGGAAACUUACGCUAAUACCGCAUACGACCUACGGGUGAAAGCAGGGGAUCUUCGGACCUUGCGCGAUUGAAUGAGCCGAUGUCGGAUUAGCUAGUUGGCGGGGUAAAGGCCCACCAAGGCGACGAUCCGUAGCUGGUCUGAGAGGAUGGUCAGCCACACUGGAACUGAGACACAGUCCAGACACCUACGGGAGGCAGCAGUGGGGAAUAUUGGACAAUGGACGCGAGCCUGAUCCAGCCAUACCGCGUGGGUGAAGAAGGCCUUCGGGUUGGAAAGCCCUUUUGUUGGGAAAGAAAAGCAGCAGGUUAAUACCCCGCUGUUCUGACGGUACCCAAAGAAUAAGCACCGGCUAACUUCGUG
rnacentral:rRNA from 1 species